AAUGUUGACCUCGGAGGGUCCUGAAAGGGUAAAGGAAGUGUCGGGGUGGGUGGAGGGGUCCCGGUGUGGGACACCCGGGUGUUUGGGUGACAAAUUCAUGGCCUGGAGGUGACAGGGACAGAGUUGGGGUGACAAGCGCACACCGUGUAGGUGACAGGGACAGAGUUCGGGUGACAAAUGUGCACCCUGGAGGUGACAGGGACAGAGUUGGGGUGACAAAUGUGCACCCUGGAGGUGACAGGGACAGAGCUGGGGUGACAAAUGUGCACCCUGGAGGUGACAGCAAUGAGUUCGGGUGACAAAUGUGCGCCCUGUAGGUGACAGGGACAGAGCUGGGGUGACAUCUUACGCUGUUGGUGACAGUGAUGAGUUCAGGUGACAGACGGGCACCCUGGAGGUGACAAAUGGGCAGGGUUCGGGUGACAGCUCGCCCGCCGGGUGACACAACGGUGACACAACGGGGACGCUGUGCCCCCCC
rnacentral:lncRNA from 1 species